rnacentral:rRNA from 1 species
UCAGACGAUGCGUCAUGCAUAUCAAUAAGCGGAGGAAAAGAAACUAACAAGGAUUCCCUUAGUAACGGCGAGUGAAGCGGGAAGAGCUCAAAUUUGAAAUCUUAAAGGGUUUCCCUUUACGAAUUGUAGUUUAAAGAAGUGUUUUCUGUUAGAGUUUCGGUAAAAGUUCUUUGGAAUAGGACAUCAUAGAGGGUGAGAAUCCCGUAUUUGACCAUUAUUUCCAGCUUUGUGAUACACUUUCAAAGAGUCGGAUUGUUUGGGAAUGCAGUCCAAAAUGGGUGGUAAAUUUCAUCUAAAGCUAAAUAUUGGCGAGAGACCGAUAGCGAACAAGUACCGUGAGGGAAAGAUGAAAAGAACUUUGAAAAGAGAGUUAAACAGUACGUGAAAUUGUCAAAAGGGAAGCGUUUGACACCAGUGUUGUUUUCUCGAAAAUCAAUUAAAAAAGGCAGGAUUUUGUGUUGUAUUGACUUUAUCAGCUUUCUGCACUCUUUUCUUGUCUUUUUUUAAUGCACUUUUCGUUUAACAAGUCAACAUCAAUUUCUUUUGUUGUAAAAGGGUCAUUGGAAGGUGGCUUUCUUUUCGGAGAAAGUGUUUAUAGCCUUUGGCCUCUGCAAUCGGAGAGAUUGAGGUCUGCAGCGUAGAUCCUUCGGGGUUAGAUACAUUUGUGCUAAGUUAUAGCCUUUUAUAGACAACUUGUUAACUAUGAUCAGUUAUCUGUAGCUUACUCGCUUAUGCUAUUUUACCUACGCUUAGGAUGUUGAUCUACAGAGCGAGAGU